rnacentral:rRNA from 1 species
GAUUAAGUUAUUAAGGGCGCACGGUGGAUGCCUUGGCACUAGAAGCCGAUGAAGGACGUUACUAACGACGAUAUGCUUUGGGGAGCUGUAAGUAAGCUGUGAUCCAGAGAUUUCCGAAUGGGGGAACCCAAUACGAGUUAUGUCGUAUUAUCGAUACGUAAAUACAUAGCGUAUCGAAGGUAGACGCGGAGAACUGAAACAUCUUAGUACCCGCAGGAAGAGAAAGAAAAAUCGAUUCCCUGAGUAGCGGCGAGCGAAACGGGAAGAGCCCAAACCAACGAGCUUGCUUGUUGGGGUUGUAGGACACUCUAUACGGAGUUACAAAGGAAUAGAUUA